rnacentral:rRNA from 1 species
CCUACGGGAGGCAGCAGUGAGGAAUAUUGGUCAAUGGGCGCGAGCCUGAACCAGCCAAGUCGCGUGAGGGAAGACGGUCCUAUGGAUUGUAAACCUCUUUUGUCGGGGAGCAAAAGACGCCACGCGUGGCGUUCCGCGCGUACCCGACGAACACGCAUCGGCUAACUCCGUGCCAGCAGCCGCGGUAAUCCGGAGGAUGCGAGCGUUAUCCGGUUUUAUUGGGUUUAAAGGGUGCGUAGGCGGAAGGUUAAGCCGGCGGUCAAAUGUCGGGGCUCAACACCGGCCUGCCGUUGAAACUGGUCGUCUUGAGUGAGCGAGAGGUAGGCGGAAUGCGUGGUGUAGCGGUGAAAUGCAUAGAUAUCACGCAGAACUCCGAUUGCGAAGGCAGCAUGCCGGAGCGCAACUGACGCUGAGGCACGAAAGCGUGGGGAUCGAACAGGAUUAGAUACCCGGGUAGUC